CGUGAGCAACUGUUCAUCUCCUCAUGAUGUUCUGCUCUAGAGUCCCUACAGUGUCUCCUCGUGUGGACAUGGAUAGAUGUAAUGAUCUGAAUCAACCAUCUCGUCUGUUGUUAGAAUGUGACUUGUUCCACUUUCACUAAAUAAACACCAGAGGGCACUCCUGCUAAAGCUUUGAAAAUGGAUUAACCAAGUUUUGAUUAGUGCACCUUAUCCCUUGGUUUCAUCUCGUGGAAAUAGGUCCGCUAUUGAUCAUUCUGUGUGUUUUCCAUAAAUACACUCAUGUAUGAUCGCAAAUAUGUACAUGCCUUUUUACUCACAAAACACAUUAUCAGACAAAAUACUACAUUCAUCCUCUAAGCUCCCAAUUUCUGGCCUUACUCGCAGGUCAAGUAACUUUACAAUUAUCCUUAUUCUUGUAUAGCUGGACAAGUUCUUUAAUGCACAUAUUGCUUAUCUAGUUUGAAAUCUCAUAGGGAAGUUCUGCUUUUAUUUUAAAUUCAGUCUUGCGUUACUUUCAUGCUAAAAACAUACAAAUUGUAGAUGCUACGUUUCUGCUAAUUGACACCAGUGACAUAUUGAAAGUAUAUGAAUGCAGCCUCCAUUUGUUCAAACAGUGGCUUAGUUCACAAUGCAUCUUACAUUUCAUUAAGAAGCGGACAAGUGUUAUUUCUUUAAUCUAUAAAAUGAUCCUGAAUAAACUUCCAAUUUACCACUGUGUCCUUCUUGAGUUACCAGCUGGGCUCCACCAAUUGGUUCCUCUUUAAUGUACCCCAAGUUGGAUGGAUUUGUGUAAACCAGCAUUUUCAUACUUUGCAAACUGAUCAUGGACUAACUUGCAAAGACAAAAAAAAAAACACUUAUUAUAUUACAUAAAGGAGACAUGUGAUAAUUUUCUUG